GGCCUGACCGGGCGGCCCGCCUUCUGGUGAGUACUGUCUUCGCGUCGGGUCUCUUCUUCUGGUGAGCUAGUGUGUCCUUCAAUGGGCGCGUUAGGGAACCAGGACUGUUACCUUGAGAAAAUUAGAGUGUUCAAAGCAGGCGUGACGCCCGAAUACGUUAGCAUGGAAUAACGAAAUAGGACGCGCGGUUCUAUUUUGUUGGUUUCUAGAGUCGCCGUA
rnacentral:rRNA from 1 species